AAUAUUGGACAAUGGAGGCAACUCUGAUCCAGCCAUGCCGCGUGCAGGAAGACUGCCCUAUGGGUUGUAAACUGCUUUUAUACAGGAAGAAACAGCUCUACGUGUAGAGCCUUGACGGUACUGUAAGAAUAAGGAUCGGCUAACUCCGUGCCAGCAGCCGCGGUAAUACGGAGGAUCCAAGCGUUAUCCGGAAUCAUUGGGUUUAAAGGGUCCGUAGGUGGAUAAUUAAGUCAGAGGUGAAAUCCUGCAGCUCAACUGUAGAAUUGCCUUUGAUACUGGUUAUCUUGAGUUAUUAUGAAGUAGUUAGAAUAUGUAGUGUAGCGGUGAAAUGCAUAGAUAUUACAUAGAAUACCAAUUGCGAAGGCAGAUUACUAAUAAUAUACUGACACUGAUGGACGAAAGCGUGGGGAGCGAACAGGAUUAGAUACCCUGUAGUCCACGCCGUA
rnacentral:rRNA from 1 species